CCCCGGCGAGGGGAGUGAAAAAGAACCUGAAACCGUGUACGUACAAGCAGUGGGAGCACAGAGCAAUCUGUGUGACUGCGUACCUUUUGUAUAAUGGGUCAGCGACUUAUAUUCUGUAGCAAGGUUAACCGAAUAGGGGAGCCGAAGGGAAACCGAGUCUUAACUGGGCGUUAAGUUGCAGGGUAUAGACCCGAAACCCGGUGAUCUAGCCAUGGGCAGGUUGAAGGUUGGGUAACACUAACUGGAGGACCGAACCGACUAAUGUUGAAAAAUUAGCGGAUGACUUGUGGCUGGGGGUGAAAGGCCAAUCAAACCGGGAGAUAGCUGGUUCUCCCCGAAAGCUAUUUAGGUAGCGCCUCGUGAAUUCAUCUCCGGGGGUAGAGCACUGUUUCGGCAAGGGGGUCAUCCCGACUUACCAACCCGAUGCAAACUGCGAAUACCGGAGAAUGUUAUCACGGGAGACACACGGCGGGUGCUAACGUCCGUCGUGAAGAGGGAAACAACCCAGACCGCCAGCUAAGGUCCCAAAGUCAUGGUUAAGUGGGAAACGAUGUGGGAAGGCCCAGACAGCCAGGAUGUUGGCUUAGAAGCAGCCAUCAUUUAAAGAAAGCGUAAUAGCUCACUGGUCGAGUCGGCCUGCGCGGAAGAUGUAACGGGGCUAAACCAUGCACCGAAGCUGCGGCAGCGACGCUUAUGCGUUGUUGGGUAGGGGAGCGUUCUGUAAGCCUGCGAAGGUGUGCUGUGAGGCAUGCUGGAGGUAUCAGAAGUGCGAAUGCUGACAUAAGUAACGAUAAAGCGGGUGAAAAGCCCGCUCGCCGGAAGACCAAGGGUUCCUGUCCAACGUUAAUCGGGGCAGGGUGAGUCGACCCCUAAGGCGAGGCCGAAAGGCGUAGUCGAUGGGAAACAGGUUAAUAUUCCUGUACUUGGUGUUACUGCGAAGGGGGGACGGAGAAGGCUAUGUUGGCCGGGCGACGGUUGUCCCGGUUUAAGCGUGUAGGCUGGUUUUCCAGGCAAAUCCGGAAAAUCAAGGCUGAGGCGUGAUGACGAGGCACUACGGUGCUGAAGCAACAAAUGCCCUGCUUCCAGGAAAAGCCUCUAAGCAUCAGGUAACAUCAAAUCGUACCCCAAACCGACACAGGUGGUCAGGUAGAGAAUACCAAGGCGCUUGAGAGAACUCGGGUGAAGGAACUAGGCAAAAUGGUGCCGUAACUUCGGGAGAAGGCACGCUGAUAUGUAGGUGAAGUCCCUCGCGGAUGGAGCUGAAAUCAGUCGAAGAUACCAGCUGGCUGCAACUGUUUAUUAAAAACACAGCACUGUGCAAACACGAAAGUGGACGUAUACGGUGUGACGCCUGCCCGGUGCCGGAAGGUUAAUUGAUGGGGUCA
rnacentral:rRNA from 1 species